AUUUUCUCAAUCUUGUGGAAUUCAUUUUAUCUAUUCCACCGCCUCAUUUUAGCUUAUUAAGCUCUUUCAUUUUCUGAAAACAAACACCACCAAAACCCAGCAAAUCAACUUCUUGUUCUGUUGCUUUCGAUUCAAGUGGUGCGGCGCGACUAGGACGUUACUUUUGAUUGAAUUACUCAAAGUUUACCUUCAAGUUCAAAUUCAGGUUUUAAAGGCCGGAGGCGCGUGGAAGGUCGAAUGGCGAAUCAAAUGUUUUGAAUUUAGCAUUACUUAAAAAUGUUAUUUUGAAUAAAGUAUUUUAAAUAAAAUAUUUCUUUUCUUAUUUUCACAUUACAUAUUUAUUUAUAUUCAUAGUUUUUC